UCGCUUGAAAUGAAUUAGCAGAUCCUUUUUGUAAUCGGUUCCACUCGACGUGAUAAGUAUUUCGCCGAGGACAUACGAAAGUAUGGCCGAGAUAAGAGAAGUCUUUUAGAUCCGCUUCUAAUUCUUAGAUCAAGCUUGCUUGACUAAACCCCAUUUUAUGAUCUGGCCUCAAAUCAGGUAGGACUACCCGCUGAACUUAA
rnacentral:misc_RNA from 1 species